UCAUCAUCAUUCAAAGGAUCUUCCAAUUUCACCAAAACUUCCUCUCUCAACUUCGAUUCACAUUCCCGAUCCUUUCACUCUUCCAAUCAUGAUUCCGAUUCCUUCUCCGAUCUCUUCAAUUCCAAUCCCAUCUCUCGUAGCACCUCUGGUUUUGCUUCCACGUCCGUCAACUUGCCUGUUUAUGAUAAACCUCUUUACGACGACGACGACGGAAGUGCCGCUGCGUUUGAUGAUCUUCUCGGUGGAUUUGGGAAUAAUAAGCCUUCCCGUCAAAGGUGUGGUUACUGUGCGUAACUUGUUAAUUAAGCUUGCUUGUAUUGUAAUUUACAUGCAUGAUCAAAAGCAUUUUUAGUUAUUUAUUUAC
rnacentral:lncRNA from 1 species